GCCGCUUCGCACGCGAUGUCGCCGGGUCCCCUCAUCCCCCGCGGCCUCCGCCGCCGCAUAGGGAGCGCAGGCACGCUCGGGGAGCGGGAGCUGCCUGGGGAGGACAAGGGGUACCCAGCCCGGCAGGGGAUGCUCGGGCUUCAUUGUCUCUUGCAUUUCUUGGGGGUGCCUGAUGUUAAAAGUCAGUGAAGGAUUGCUGUUUUGGAGUGGAGUACAGAUCCUCCCAGGAUAAAAUGUUAUGUCAGCAAUCAAGAGAAACAGAAAGAACUAGAAAGGAGGGUGCAGCCAGGUGGGGAUCAGCCUCUUCUCCCAGGGAAACAGCGACAGGAGGAGAGGACACAGUGCCGGGAAGGCUCAGGCAGGCCACGAGCAGGAAUUUCCCCACACGAGGGACGAGGAGCCAUCGGGAAGAGCU